rnacentral:snRNA from 1 species
AUUGCUUCUCGGCCUCUUGGCUAAAAUCAAGUGUAGUAUUUGUUCUUAUCAGUUUAAAAAUAUUUUUUUUUAAUUUUAGAGAGAGCAGAAGUCAU